AAUGUCAUAUAAAUUAUAGUUGUUCCUCGGUAUCUGUGGGGGAAUUGAUUCCAGGAACCCCCAGGAAUAUUGAAAUCCGUGGGUGCUCAAGUUCCUUAUAUAAAAU